UGAGGAACAUGACCUUCGGCGGGGGAUAGCCGGCCCAACGGCCGGGUAAUACCGCGUACGACCACAUGGGGACAUCCCUGAGUGGUGAAAGCAGCAAUGCGCCGAUGGAGUGCCUCGCGGCCUAUCAGCUAGUUGGUGAGGUAACGGCUCACCAAGGCGACGACGGGUANCUGGUCUGAGAGGAUGGCCAGCCACAUUGGGACUGAGACACGGCCCAGACCUGUAACCGGGGAG
rnacentral:rRNA from 1 species